rnacentral:rRNA from 1 species
GAUGGGUGCCCUUCGGGGACCGUGAGACGUGUGCUGCGUGGGUGUCCUCCUCUCGUGUCGUGAGAUGUUGGGUUAUCUCCCACAACGAGCGCCCCCCCUAUGGAUAUGUGCCAGCAAGUAAUGUUGGGCACUCUAUUCAGACUGCCCGGGUUAACCGGGAGGAAUGUGGGGACGACGUCAAGUCAUCAUGGCCCUUACGCCUAGGGCUACACACGUACUACUGUGGCGCGCACAAAGGGGAGCGAGACCGCGAUGUGGAUCAUACCCCAAAACACACGUCCCAGUCCGGAUUGCAGUCUGCAACUCGACUGCAUGAAGUUGGAAUCGCUAGUAAUUCGAGAUCAGCAUGCUCGGGUGAAUGCGUUCCCGGGCCUU